CCUGGACUUCAGUGCCCUGUUUAACUUGUCCUGGUGCUGACUGAGCUCAAAUACAGACAGUUUGAAGCUAGUAGAAGUGAAGUCUGAACCCAGAGUGGAAGAAAUUUGUCCCUAUCAUGGGCAUCUCCACCUACCUCCACCUAUUGAUUCGGACUGAUUUCCCCCCACUCUGAUAGCAGAACAUCCAGGCCUCUCAGAGCUUCUCCUACAGACUGUUCCAUGCUAGGAUGCUACACGAGAGAACUCCUUGUUCGGGUGGUGAAGAAAAACCCUGGAUGAUAACAAGUGAAAGUUUGACUUCUGAGGGCCAAAGACUAGAUAAGAUCACUUGCUAUAGUUAGUUGAGACCAGACUGAUAGCUGGGGAGUGGGCAGAUGUACCUGCAUAAUGGAAGGACCAAGGAAAUGGCCAGGAUUUCCUCAAGAGGUCAUCUAUAUGCCUGCAACUGGAAGAAACAUCUAUCUGCCUGGGCACUUGAACUAGGCCUCCUGAAGACUUGUAUUGUGCAAAUAACAACCGGCAAUAAUUGGGCUCAGUCCCAGAGCUGGGCUAGACUUAAUCAGCUCUUUAUUAAUUUGUGUUGGUUUAUAUGUUUGUCUGUCAGUAGCUUAAUGAUUUUUCAUGGGUGUUUGGCCUCUCGCCCUCUUUAGAUUUGUAAGAGAAUGAAGAAGUGAGAGGGUGCUGUAUCAAGACAGACUAAAACAAGGAUUUUUUUUUUAGUUGGAAAAAGACAAAACCUAAGGAGGAAUAAAAAUGAUUCAUUCAUUAAUUCAUCUAAAUACUAUUUUAGAGGGCCUGCUAUAUGCCAAGCACUGUACUGGCAGUUAGGUAUAUACGAAGACAAAAAAACACAAUCAAUACUUGCCUUGUAGGAACUUACCUUCUUUUGGGGGAAACAACAGGUACACAAGAUAAAGAA